rnacentral:tRNA from 1 species
GGGCUUGUAGCUCAGUCUGGUUAGAGCACCGUUCUGAUAAAGCGGGGGUCGGUGGUUCAAGUCCACCCAGGCCCA